GCCACCAUGUGGUUGCUGGGAUUUGAACUUCGGACCUUCGGAAGAGCAGUCCGGUGCUCUUACCCUUUGAGUCAUCUCUCCAACCCCGGGUUCUUGCCUCUUACUAUGAGGCACAAAAUGAACUCAAACCAUAUCGGUGACCUUAAUCUGAACCUGGAAGCACUGACACCACUAGGAAAGCACCGGACAAACACUUCAGGACACAGACAGGCACAGACAGGCACAGGCAGGCACAGACAGGAACAGACAGGCACAGGCAGGCACAGACGGGCACACACAGGCACAGGCAGGCACAGACAGACAGGCACAGGCAGCACAGACAGGCACAGACAGGCACAGACAGACAGGCACAGUUAGGCACAGACAGGCACAGACAGGCACAAGCAGGCACAGACAGGCACAGACAGGCACAGACAGGCACAGGCAGGCACAGGCAGGCACAGACAGGCACAGACAGGCACAGGCAGGAGAUUGUCAAGUAAGAUCCUAGUGACACAGGAAAUAGCCCCAGGAACAAUCCUGCCCUCCUGUCAGUGGGUCAGUGAACUGACUAGAAGCUUGUCACAGAAGGACAAGGGGAGGCCUGAGAGAUGGCUCUUGCACUUGUUCUUCCAGAGGGCCCAGGUUGGAUUCCCAGAACUUGAAUAGUGGCUCACAACCAACUGCAACUCCAGUUCCAGAGGAUUCGUGUCCUCUCUGGCCUCUGC
rnacentral:lncRNA from 1 species